UGGAGAGUUUGAUCCUGGCUCAGAUUGAACGCUGGCGGCAUGCCUAACACAUGCAAGUCGAACGGCAGCAGGUCCUUCGGGAUGCUGGCGAGUGGCGGACGGGUGAGUAACGCGUAGGAAUCUGUCCUCGAGUGGGGGAUAACCCAGGGAAACUUGGGCUAAUACCGCAUACGCCCUGAGGGGGAAAGCGGGGGAUCUUCGGACCUCGCGCUGGAGGAGGAGCCUGCGUCCGAUUAGCUAGUUGGUGGGGUAAAGGCCUACCAAGGCGACGAUCGGUAGCUGGUCUGAGAGGACGAUCAGCCACACUGGGACUGAGACACGGCCCAGACUCCUACGGGAGGCAGCAGUGGGGAAUUUUUCGCAAUGGGGGCAACCCUGACGAAGCAAUGCCGCGUGUGUGAAGAAGGCCUUCGGGUUGUAAAGCACUUUCAGCGGGGACGAAAAGGUACGGGCGAACAGUCCGUGCUGUUGACGUGAACCGCAGAAGAAGCACCGGCUAACUCCGUGCCAGCAGCCGCGGUA
rnacentral:rRNA from 1 species